rnacentral:rRNA from 1 species
GACGAACGCUGGCGGCGUGCUUAACACAUGCAAGUCGAACGGAAAGGCCCUGCUUUUGUGGGGUGCUCGAGUGGCGAACGGGUGAGUAACACGUGAGUAACCUGCCCUUGACUUUGGGAUAACUUCAGGAAACUGGGGCUAAUACCGGAUAGGAGCUCCUGCUGCAUGGUGGGGGUUGGAAAGUUUCGGCGGUUGGGGAUGGACUCGCGGCUUAUCAGCUUGUUGGUGGGGUAGUGGCUUACCAAGGCUUUGACGGGUAGCCGGCCUGAGAGGAUGACCGGCCAAAUUGGGACUGAGAUACGGCCCAGACUCCUACGGGAGGCAGCAGUGGGGAAUAUUGCACAAUGGGCGGAAGCCUGAUGCAGCAACGCCGCGUGCGGGAUGACGGCCUUCGGGUUGUAAACCGCUUUCGCCUGUGACGAAGCGUGAGUGACGGUAAUGGGUAAAGAAGCACCGGCUAACUACGUG